GACGAACGCUGGCGGCGUGCUUAACACAUGCAAGUCACGGGGGCUUGGGCAACCGAGCAACCGGCGAACGGGUGCGUAACACGUGAGCAACCUGCCUUUGUGUGGGGGAUAGCCGGGCUAACGCCCGGGUAAUACCGCAUACGGUUCUCGAGGGGAGUCCCUUGGGAAAGAAACCUCCGGGGCACAGAGAGGGGCUCGCGGCCUAUCAGCUUGUUGGCGGGGUAAUGGCCCACCAAGGCGACGACGGGUAGCUGGCUGAGAGGAUGGCCAGCCACAUUGGGACUGAGAGACGGCCCAGACUCCUACGGGAGGCAGCAGUGGGGAAUCUUGCGCAAUGGCCGCAAGGCUGACGCAGCGACGCCGCGUGUGGGAGGACGCC
rnacentral:rRNA from 1 species